ACCGAAUUAGUUUUGCAAACUCGC
rnacentral:siRNA from 1 species